rnacentral:lncRNA from 1 species
UGAACAUUGUGUAAAGGAGAACACCCAGAACUUUCAAGGGAUUGAGUUCGUACUGCUACCCACAGACCCAAAGUGUCUUCACAACUUGCCCUCCCCGUUAAAGAUUGGAUGAAGGAAGCUGCUAUGUUUUGAGCUGCCCUAUGGAGAGACCAGCAUGGUAAGGAAAUAAAGGAAGCCUCCAUUUGACAUCCAGCAAGAAAGUGAGAUGCUCAGUCACUUGAACCACAAGGAAUUGAAAUCUACCAACACUCACAUGUGCUUGAAAGUGGAUCCGUCCUGAGUGGAGCAUUCGGAUGAGACUGCAGCCCCAACAGAAAUCUUGGUUGCAGCCUUGGGAGACCUGAAGCAAAGGUCCUGAUGCAAAGGACUCAAGGGGGGAAGUCUGAGCUACCCCAUGGCAUAAAGGCGAGUCUCAGAUUUGUUAAGAGGAUUUCACCAAAUUUCUUUAUCUGAAGAUGACCCACAAUCAGCCUUCUCUGCGUUUUUUAAUUCUUGCUUGUUACAUGGCCUUACCAAUCCUGUUUGUGUUUUAAAUCCAAUCCUCACCAUUUACCUGUGAAACUCAUCUGAGGGAAAACACACGUCCAGGACCCCGGAAAAUAUGGAGGUAUUUCCUUCUCUCUCUCAAGGGCAGCACUUCUGAUGAGAAGAGCAGCUCAUUGUGCUGGAGUAGCUGUUGUGCUUGAUUUUUAC